rnacentral:rRNA from 1 species
UACGGAGGGAGCUAGCGUUGUUCGGAAUUACUGGGCGUAAAGCGCGCGUAGGCGGCUUUGUAAGUUAGAGGUGAAAGCCCGGGGCUCAACUCCGGAACUGCCUUUAAGACUGCAUCGCUAGAAUUGUGGAGAGGUAAGUGGAAUUCCGAGUGUAGAGGUGAAAUUCGUAGAUAUUCGGAAGAACACCAGUGGCGAAGGCGACUUACUGGACACAUAUUGACGCUGAGGUGCGAAAGCGUGGGGAGCAAACAGGG